CCCUUAGAUGUUCUGGGCUGCACGCGCGCUACACUGAUGCGCUCAACGAGUUUUAACCUUGCCUGGAAAGGUUGGGUAAUCUUUUUAAAACGCAUCGUGAUGGGGAUAGAUUAUUGCAAUUAUUAAUCUUCAACGAGGAAUGCCUAGUAGGCGCAAGUCAUCAGCUUGCGUCGAUUACGUCCCUGCCCUUUGUACACACCGCCCGUCGCUCCUACCGAUUGGGUGUGCUGGUGAAAUGUUCGGAUCGGCCGUUUGUCGCGGUUUCCGCGUCAUGUGGCUGAGAAGUUCAUUAAACCCUCCCACCGAGAGGAAGGAGAAGUCGUAACA
rnacentral:rRNA from 1 species